GCAGACCCACUCUGCACCCAAAUGCAGUCCCAGGCAGAUGCUUCUUUUGUCUGCCACAGAAACAUCCCAGGGCACUGUAACGACCUUGACCUGUCAAGGGUGAUGCAGCUAUCCAGGGACACAGUU